rnacentral:rRNA from 1 species
AACUUUCAACAACGGAUCUCUUGGUUCCGGCAUCGAUGAAGAACGCAGCGAAAUGCGAUAAGUAAUGUGAAUUGCAGAAUUCCGUGAAUCAUCGAAUCUUUGAACGCACAUUGCGCCCUCUGGCAUUCCGGAGGGCAUGCCUGUCCGAGCGUCAUU